ensembl:lncRNA
CGAUUAUACAAUGAUUUUGUCAUAAAUAUCAAUUAUAUGAACAUACAGUUAACCAUUUCUUUACAAUAAACACUUUCUUUAAGGAAAAUCAAAGGAAUUAUUGGACUUGCUUUUAAACAUUUUUUUUAAAUGUAACAUGAGUUUUGGUAACAGGACUGGGAAAAAUGGAGCCAUCAGAUUAGAAACCCAUAAAAAAAAAAAAAAUUAAGUACAGCUGCCUGAGAUUGACUAGUACAUGUUAAAUAUGUGUUAUUGGAUUCAGAGUUGCAAAACUAUAAUAAUUAAGUUUAAUUUGGAAAAGUUAGAACAAUCAAAUGGCCCCAUUCAAUGGAAUGGCCCUUAUAUUGUUGGUCAUGUGAUUCAAGCUUGGUCACGUGAUUCUACUGUACUCCGAUUGGAACGUGGAAUGUUGGUGAGGUCGCUGAUGAUGUCAUCACAGCUAUAUAUACUCAUUCUUCUGGAGAGCAGCAGAGAAACGGAGGGAGAUUUGAAGAGAGAGGACGUAAGUGUUUAUGAGCUGCAGAAACAGUAGCUAAAUGCUGGUCUUAAUACUUUAUUAUUUAUUAAUAGAUAGAAAGAUAGAUGGAUAGAUAUUAUUUAUGCCAAAAUUUCCUUCGGGGUAGAUAGAUAGAUAGAUAGAUAGAUAGAUAGAUAGAUAGAUAGAUAGAUAGAUAGAUAGUAUUUAUGCCUAAAUGUAUCCCGAAGGAAUUUUAGGCAUAAAUAAUAGUUGCUUUUAGUGCCUCUACAAGACUUUAUAUAAAAUUUUAUCAUCAAGCUAACAGGGUCAAGAGAAAUAUAGCUGCAAUACUGAAAUGCAGGGGUUAAAGUAGCAGCUCCUGCACGCUAACACAGUAAAAUGCUUGAAAGAAAAAAGCUCCGUGAAUUAAACUCGGUCAGUACUGAACAUAAUGCUGCAAUUCAGGCAGGUUUUAACCAGACUGUGUUUUCUUCUCCACUUUCCAGAUGUUUGACCUGGAUAAAAUGGACUUUUCUGCUCUAAUGGCGAAACCAAAAGGAACAAAGGUGUUUGUGCCUGAUAAAUGUAAGGUGCAGUUCUUCCGGGGCAAACUGGGACAGAGUCUUUCUUCUGAUAGACAGGAUUGUGAUUACGGAGACCCUAAAAUGUCCCAGAAACUCGGGGAUUACAACUGCCUGCACGAUAAACAGCUGAAGAAGUUCUUCAGACAUCCGGAGAAAAAGAAGAGGCUCCUAAAACUUGGCCUAAUUUCUCCGCAUGGAAAAGUCCAGUGCUCCGUAAAGGAAUUUAACGACUAUGUUGAGCACCUGAAAAGCACCCCACUGAAACAGGAUACAUCAGAAUUCAAGCAGCCCAGCUUACAAAUGACCUGCCAGUUCAAGGGCUCCAGCCGCCCGGAGAAGAAGAUAAAGAAAGAGACUGAGGAGCUGAGGCUGAUAGACCUGGAGGAGGAGGUUCAUGUUUCAGUUGAGGACCUAAAACAAACUCCUAGAAAAGAAAAGGUGGAGGAUACAUCAGAAUUCAAGCAGCCCAGCGUACAAAUGACCUGCCAGAGCAAGGGCUCCAGCCGUCCGGAGAAGAAGGAGCGGCGCAUGAAACAAAAACUAACCAAUCCGGAUGUUAAGGAUGAACGCACAUUACUCGCACAUUCCUACACAUUAGAGCGUGAUGAUGAUGAUCAGGUUUUUGAUUUCAAGACUGAGAAAGAGCCUGAGGAGCUGCGGCUGAUAGACCUCGAGGAGGAGGAGCAGGAGGAGGAGGAGGAGAGCUUCCAAACCGAGGUGGCUGAUGUUUUAGUGGAGGACAUAGACCAAACUCCUAGAGAAGAAACGGUGGAGAUGACAACAUCAAAGCCAAUCCUCUCACCUGAAACUGAGAAGAAGCUGAAGAAAAAGAAAUCUUCCAGUUUGACUUGGGUAAAUGUCCAAGAGUCAUCCAGCACCCAGGAGAAUAUGGAGGAAGCUUCUAAAGAGGGUGACAGCCGUGGCUCCAUCUGGUCCAUCUUCAAGAGAGUCUGGAAGGCAGUAAAGCGCCCCAAAUCAGCUCCUCCUGCCAUCUAAUUUUCCCCAUUUUUUCCCACCCCCACUUUCACUUCUUUUUUAUAUUAAUCAUAAGAUUUGGUCAAUGCAAUCCAUAUUAAUCUAUUGUAUUGUAUCAAAUUGUCCGCCAUAUUGUCAAAUUCGCAAGCGUCUGAAGUCUGGAAUUUAGCUCCAUAGUCGUUAUGUCAAUCCAGACCCAGUGUAGGCUUAUUUAAAAUCAAAACUACAUUUAGAAACUACAUUGCUCUCAGGCUCUCAGAGCUAUAUGAGCUGAGCUCCAUCCUUAUAGAUGUUGAGCUCUUUUAGUAUUAGUUAGUUUUAUACAUAUCUAAAAUGAGUCCACACUUGAACAAUUGUUGCAUCAUUUUAAUUCGCCUAAUAUAUUUAAUAUCAUGUAGGUAGUUGCUCGUUGACUGCUCAGUAUUUACUGAUGAUCUGCUCCAUCUUUAUAGAUGUUGAGCUUUUUGUAUAUCAGGUUAUUGUGCAGCACACUGAGAUAUCAGAAGAUAUCCCACUUCUCCCCUCAAUUCGGUUGUUAUGAUUAUAGCACAUAUUAAUAGCGGCCCCCUUGAUGCCCGCAAAUCUACAUCUACAAUUAAAGAUUGCAGUGACGCUGCAGCAAAAGUAAGACUGAGAGUGCAUCCUGAUUGGUCCCUGCUUGGGCUUGGAUCUGUCAGUGAGCACAUGUGGGAGCGAUUUAGGCUCCACAGCUCUCUUUCUAGGCUAGAAUAUUCUAGUUUAGUUUCGUUUCUGCAGUAUAAAGGUAAUAAGAUAAUUUUAUAUUGUAUAGGUAUUGUAGAUGAUUUGCAGACAUCAGGGAGCACAUAUAUAUAUAAAACUGUUUAUGUGGUCUUAAAGUCACGUCAUAUCAUGUAUUAGUCAUAUGUGGUUUAGACCAGAGGAGGAUGG